AACGCACAUUGCGCCCUUUGGCAUUCCGAAGGGCAUGCCUGUUCGAGCGUCAUUGCAGUCUUCAAGCGCAAGCUUGGUGUUGGGCGUUUUGUUGUGCGCCGCAGCCUGUCUGCGGUCGGCAACUCGCCUCAAACGCAUCGGCGUCCGGCGGUGGGUCUUUCGCGCGUAGCAGAAUGUUCGCGCGAGGGCCGGGCCGCAGGGCUGCCGCAAACGCAUCUAUUUUCUUGUUUGACCUCGGAUCAGGUAGGGAUACCCGCUGAACUUAA
rnacentral:misc_RNA from 1 species